AGUAUACUCCCUCCGUCCGAAAAUACUUGUCAUCAAAAUGAUAAAAAAAUGUAUUUAAAAUUAAAAUAUGUCUAGAUACAUCUUCUUUUAUUUAUUUUGAUGAUAAAUAUUUCCGGACGGAAGGAGUACUAU
rfam:Triticum aestivum genome assembly, contig: Triticum_aestivum_CS42_TGACv1_scaffold_374619_5AL